GGAGAGGUGUCCGAGUGGUUUAAGGUGCACGCCUGGAACGCGUGUAUGGAUGAAAAUCCAUCGGGAGUUCGAAUCUCCCCCUCUCCGCAA
rnacentral:tRNA from 1 species